UACGUAGGGUGCGAGCGUUGUCCGGAAUUAUUGGGCGUAAGGAGCUCGUAGGCGGUUUGUCGCGUCGGCCGUGAAAACUUGGGGCUUAACUCCAAGCUUGCGGUCGAUACGGGCAGACUUGAGUUCGGCAGGGGAGACUGGAAUUCCUGGUGUAGCGGUGAAAUGCGCAGAUAUCUGGAGGAAUACCGGUGGCGAAGGCGGCAUCCUGGACCAUUUACUGACGCUGAGGCGCGAAAGCUAGGGGAGCAAACGGG
rnacentral:rRNA from 1 species